ensembl:processed_transcript castor1 cytosolic arginine sensor for mTORC1 subunit 1
AUGCAAAUUUUUCAGUCUCACAGAGACUCCUGAAAAUUACACUGUUGUCCUCGACGAGGAGGGAUUUAAAGAGCUGCACCCGUCUGAGCACUUACAGGUGGAGGGCUCCACGUGGCUCCCGCUCAAUGUGGUCUCGAAUGGCAAUGCUUCCAGCAGCUCGCAGGCUGUGGGCGUCACUAAAAUUGCCAAGUCCGUCAUCGCUCCUCUGGCAGAGCAGCACGUGUCCGUCUUUAUGCUCUCCACCUAUCAGACUGACUUCAUUCUGGUGAGAGAAAGAGAUAAACUGAUGCUCAGAUAUGUAACAUUUUAAGGGGAUAGUUCACACAGUAAUGAAAAUAUACUUUUUUUUUUUACCCUGAAGUGAUUCCAAAACAUUGAGCUUUCUUUUUCUGUUGAACACAAAAGAUAUUUUGAAUAAUGCUAGAAAUCAGUAGCCAUCAUAGUAUGACAGAUAAAAUACUAAAGUAGUCAAUGGUUACAGGUUUUCAACAUUCUUUAAAUAGCUUCUUUUGUGUUUAACAAAAAAAAAAAAAGAAACUCAAUGUUAACUUUGGAACAAGUGAAGAGCAAGCAAAUGAUUACAGAGAAUUGAGAAUAGUUUGCUCAUGAUUAGGCCCACACGGAAUCUGCGCGC